rnacentral:lncRNA from 1 species
AAAGUAUUCAAUAACUAUUUCCCACACACCGUUUUCCUGCUAUCUCCAUCCUGAAUCCAGAGAACCUGAGAUUGGACAAGGCAAACUGACCUGGCCAAGUUCUGGACACUUCAGGAGAAAGGCAGAUCAUCAUCAUCUUCUUCAUUGAAUCAACUCACCAUCACUAAGGAAAGUACUCAUGGCAAAUGUCCUUCCCUGGGGCACACUCAAACCCAGGCAUUCCGCCUCUGGGUCUGCAAUAGUUCCUACAAGUCCCCAGUGGCCUGAGGCUCUCCUGCAGAUCAGGAAGCCAGAAACAGUGCCUUAAGUGGACACACUUACCUCAGGAGAGCUCCGG